rnacentral:rRNA from 1 species
UACGAAGGGGGCUAGCGUUGCUCGGAAUCACUGGGCGUAAAGCGCACGUAGGCGGAUUGUUAAGUCAGAGGUGAAAUCCUGGAGCUCAACUCCAGAACUGCCUUUGAUACUGAAGAUCUUGAGUUCGGGAGAGGUGAGUGGAACUGCGAGUGUAGAGGUGAAAUUCGUAGAUAUUCGCAAGAACACCAGUGGCGAAGGCGGCUCACUGGCCCGAUACUGACGCUGAGGCACGAAAGCGUGGGGAGCAAACAGG